GCAUUCCUGGCCUAAAGUGCUAUUAUUUGACCAAUCCAAUCAUUUCAACUUUCACUUGCUAACAAUAGCCGAUUGCUCUUGUCAAAAAAUCAUGUCAUAAUAACUAUGCACUAAACUCUUAACCUAGCUGGUAGUUGCAUCUGAAGAGCUGUUGGAAGUGAAACGAUCCUGCUGUGGCACGUAAGUAUUUAAAAAAUUAGCUUAAAACAGGUGAAAACAUCUUGUUAGCUCUCCUUUAUUUUUCAGAAAGUAAUGCUUUCUGUUACAUUUCUGGGGCAUCAUCUCAUCAGUGGAUUAGCUACAAAAGUGGUAAUCUAUAUUUACACCAACAAUUAACUACUAGUGGAAGAUUUUAGACUUAUGAAUAAGGUUCUUUGCAAAGAAAUCAGCAAAAUGUUCAUGCACUUUUGAAGAAGCAUGGAAUAUAAUUUUUAUUCUUAACAACUAUAAUUAUUAUGAUAGGAACUACAUUUUCAUACAUAUUUCUUUGGUACAUCAUCUGAUUCUCCUAACAGUGCUGCCAAAUCAGGAUAGUCUUCUCAAUUUAUAGAUGAGUAAGCAAUUCUGUAAAGAAAGAAAAAUUUCCAUUUCCACACAGUCAAUAAAUGGAAAGAUUAUGGUAUAAACACUGUUUUAACUCUUUCCUUUUUCCUGAGUAGUUUCUCUCUCUCUCUCUCUCUCUCUCUCUCUCUCUCUCUCUCUCUCUCUCUAAACAUUUUUUGGUAUCAGGAUUCAAAUGUUCUUCCCUGAUCUGAGAUGCAUUAAAAAUUCCAGUAGUAGGAACAAGAAAACCCUCAAGGGCUACCUGGUCUGAAUGACCAUUAAGGAGUACUUUUGGAAAGACUGCUUUAGUUACUUUUGAAUUUACUGAGGUUGGCAUCAAGUAUCUUCUGCUGCCAGAUACCCUCAAGGUGUAUCCCAAUUUAUAGCUUAGAAAAUACAGCUUUCACAAUUAUAGCCCUAGCAUACUAUUUGUAGUUCCAUAAAUUAUAGUGUGACUAUCACCAGUGACAGUUGAGAAGGAAAGCAUGUGAAUGUAUUUGCAUCUUCUGAUGCUUUGAUACUGAUGGAAAUAGAUUAUUUGGUUUGGAAUCAGUAACCUUUCCCCACUUUCUCUUCCCUUCCCCAAACUUCAAAUUUUUCACAUAAUUGUGUUGUUAUUAUUCCAGGACUAGAGCCACUUUAACUCUUGAUAAGUCUUUGUUUAUGUAACUUUCCUCCUUGAACUAUAAGCAAAAUGGCUGAGAACAGCAUUUAAAGAUAUAAUUUGAUUGUUGUGCUGGCAUGUCUAGCAGAAGCGGAAUACAUUUAUUAUAUUACCUAAAAUUGGCUUUAGAAAACAAACUUAUUUUCUCUUUUUUAAUUAUUUUUUUAGUUAUAGUUGGACACAGUACCUUAUUUUAUUUAUUUAUUUUUAUGUGCUGCUGAGGCUCGAACCCAGCACCUCGCACGUGCUAGGUGAGCGCUCUACUGCUGAGCCACAACCCCAGUCCCAAACUUCUUUUAUUUUCAUAAAUUAAAAUUAUAAGGUAAGUGUCCUGAAAUUUCCCUUCAUCAUACUCAUCAUGAUAGGAUCAUAUGGAACACUAGUUCUCAGUCUUAGCUGUAUGUUUUGAACUAACUAGAAAGAUUUAAAUAAUCCCAUUGCCCUUCGCUACAUAUCAGACCUCUUAAAACAGAUUUAUUGAGAGGAAAAUCAGGUAACUGUAUUUAAAAAACAAAACAAAACAACAACAAUAAAAAACAAACUUCCCAGGUGAUUUCAAAGCAAAGCCAACAUUUACAAAAAUACUUUCCAACUAUCAUUAUUAUUAUCAUUUUCCACCAUCAUCAACAUUUAAAUUUUCUUUGGUGUUUAAUUACACAAGGCAUUAGUACAUGACAAACAAGGAAAAUAUCACAAAAUGGAUUCCUGCUUUGCAACUCCUCAUAAUGGAGAAUUUUAGCAUUCAAUUCUUCCUUUAUUCAAUAAUAAGUAAAUUCAAUAAAUACUAUCUAAGUCUAUAUGCUGUGCUAGAUGCCUAACAUACUUUGGUAAACAAACUAGAAAGAACUCUGGCCCCAGAGAACAUUAGUGUAGCAGAGUAGGAAAAAUAGAGAAGACUCAGGGUGUUAUUAGUUAAUCCCAACAUCUGUGGACUUAGAUACAUAUUUUAAAAUAUCUAAGCUGCAUUCUUGGUUUAAACCAAAACUAACCAACAGCACCACCACCACUAUCAACAAUAACAAAAAUCUCUCCUGCCUAAUACACUAAAUAAAUUUGUACUUACUGAGGAACUUUUUGUUUCAAUAAGAAAAGAUAUGAUGUGACUUUAUUCAAUGCAGCAAAAAUCAUGGGAAAAGAAGUCCCACCAUAAAAACCAAAAUUACUUGUUAGCUUACUGUGUACAUUUCCAUGUUCAUUAACAACUUGUAAAUGAUUAUUUAGAGAUAUUCAAACCAUUAUUUCAGCUGUCAAGUACAUUAGAUUGAAUCAUACAACGGUGAUGUACCGAAUAUAAUUAAAUUAGCAAAAAUCCUAAGAACUUAUAGUGAACAUAAACCUUUUCUUUCCUAUUAUAAUGGAAUUGUUCUAAUUGAUUUUUUUUUUAAAAAAGUUUUUAUUAUGUUUCCUGGUCAAAUAUCAUUAGCAUAUAAUAAAGGUAUCAUGUGGCAUACAUCUGUGUCAAAAUUACUGUGGGCUUUGGGGUUCCCUCGCUGGGACUAAUACAUAGUUGAGCUAAUUAGUCUUCUAUUGUUCUUUUAACAGCAAGGCCAAUGAGAUAUUCUUAUUUAGAAUGGCAACACAAGAAUUCUUUUUUCUCCAGUGGUCAUAUUUCAUAAGUGGUCGUUUUUGAACAUGAUAUUUUAAAAUCAGGUAUUUUUUAAUACUGUUAAUUUGUAAGUAAUUGCAGAACUAUAUAUGUGCAUGAUAAACUAUGAAUGCUAGAACAAUAAUGAACAAAUUAUAACCAAUAUCUUGUCCUUUAUUGAACAUUGUAACACUAAAAUAAUUCAUAACAAUUUUGAUGGUUAUGGCUAAUGCCCUUUUGACUGUUACAAUUUUAAAGAUAACUUUAGUCAGCCGGAAAGCAUAUGUUAAAAGGGAAUAGCUCAAGUGAAACAAAUUCUUCUUGCUUUUGUCUCCAAGUGAACUGCACUGUGAAAGGACACAAAAAUGCGUUUGCAUUGCCUGAGAGAAUUGCAGUGUGAGAUAAGAUGUAGCUGUCGAGUAACUGAAAAACCUCUUUCUGCUACCAGAAAUAUUAAAAAAUUGGAAAAGCCUGUUAGUUUUUUUUUUUUUAACAAGUGAAACAAGUCAUUUGGUUUUUAAAAAGUUUCUUUAUAAGAAUAUACAUUUUUCAUGUGAGUUGUCCUGGUAGAUUUCCUAAAAGCUGAUGCUCGAAGGAAAUAUUCCUCCACGAAGGCAUUUAUGCCCACUCAGGUGUGUGAAUUGAAGUUCAGCUAAAACAUUUUUAAAAAGAAAUCCAAAUUUAAGAAAUGAAACUAUUCAUUAUUUUUGUCUUAUCUAUUAAAAGACUUCAUCACAGAAUGAGAAGGGUUGAUUGUUUCAUUCUUACUCUGCUGUUCAAUGAAGCCUCUCUAACACUAUUUGAUGACCCUUCUUCCACCUUCUUCCUUCAGUCGGCUUGAAAGAUUCUACUCUCUACUUUAUAUAGAGAGGGAGACAGGUCACUGCUUUCAAUUUGUUAAGGAAUGUUUUCAUGCAAUUGAGAUAUCAAAAUAUCUGUACAUAAUGCCAGCUUCCACUAAAGGUCACAUUGUACAGUCAGAUUCUGAGAGAAAACGUACAGAGUAACUUCUCCAUACACUCUAUAUUACACACUGUAGAACUGUGCUGAGGUAGAUAAUAUACUGCUAAGGUAUAUACAUCUUUGGUUAAAAAAUUACUUUUGUUUAUAAUGAAAAGUACAAGUUUCUAUGAACUUAGGGUUUAUGUGUUACUUAAUUUGAUUAUUAUAAUGUGAAUCACUUAUUUGGAAAAAUGCAUUUAGAAUAUCUUGAUUUUUAAAAAAUUAAAAAUAAUGCAACAAAAUUCUUCUGUUUAUGUGAAAUAAUGAAGGUUUUAGUUCACGUACUUCUAAUUUUUAAUACUGAUUUCUAAUACUUGACAGAUGAAUUUUGUGUACCUUUCUGAUUGACUUUCCUUUCACUAUUCAUUUCAUCUUCUCCUCGGCCAUGUGUUCUUUCUGCUGUUUUUCUAUCCUUUAAUUCUUUCCAUCUGCCCAAUUACCUAAAUGAACACAAGGUUAAAACUGACUAGGAAAGAAUUGCUUUUUAUUUUUUGUAUUUGUAUUUAAGAGACAUACUUUUCUAAGCAAUAAAGUUAUUUUACUGUGUUAAAUCCAGAGAACUGUCUAUUUAUGUGUUUUGGGACACAGUGCACAUAUCUCAUUUUAUUUCUCCCCAUUGGAAUAUUGAAUAAAGAAACUAAUAAUUUCUUUAUAAAGACGUACUUCAAAUGACUGCAGGUAUGAUCAUAGUGUAAAACUUUAUUUGAAAAAAUCACUUCUACCCUCUAGAAAACUAUCUCAGGACCAUUUUCCUAUUCUUGGCAGAUCAGCAACAUAUCCUUUUUGCACAAAAUGACAUAAAUCAGUGAAGAGAGGGAAUUACAGAACUACUUUACUUACUAAUAUUACUCAAAAUGGUAGAAACUUAUUAUGAUGAUAUAUUAAAACAUUUUAAUAGAUAGUAAAUUUUAGUUUAUCUAGUGAUUAAAUAUAAAUCAUGAUUUCUAUAAUCAUGGGUUUUAUAUUAAUGUGAAAAGUUGCUAUUCAUUUUUACGAGAAAGCAGUCAGAACAACAAAAUAACUUCAUGCUUUAUCUUGAUACUUCUUAUUAGCUUUCAGUAUUUCAUCUAAAUCAGCUAAAUCCUUCAAAAGAAAAUAUAAACAGAAGAUGUGACAUGUCAAAUACUAGGCAUUCCAGUAGAGAAUGAAUCCUUUUUAAUUUGAAAAGGAAUUAAACAAUGUCAACUACUAAAUGAGAGUUCACCUUUCAUUAAAAAUAAAUCAGCUAGAAUAAUUUUACAAAUUGACUUACUGAUAAUUAUUAGUUACAUGUUAAACUAGGUAGAGAGAACAAACUUACUUUUCUCUGAAGUAUUCAUGAAAAUCUGAAAAGUGAAUCUCACAUCUGGCCAUUAGCACUAGUUAUCAACUUCCCACUAGACUCACACUGAAAUUUAAGAGCUCAGUUGUCAAAACGUAAUGACAACAUUGCCAAUUUUGAGAAGAAAGUCCGAUUGGUGUUGUCAUACAAGAAUUAACAAUUCUUUAUUAAUUAUAAGUCAUAUUGCAUCAUGCCUAUUGUAUUAAUUAUCUGGAUUUCUUUGGCCCUUGCUCUUUCUGGACCACUUUGUUUCCACCUGCAGCAGCCAAUAAAUUCUUGGCCCUGCAAGUGCCAAGAAUCUUUUGGCAACUUCAGUGCAACCAGGCUGACCAGUUUUAAAUGCUUGGGCUUUUAGUUUUUUUUGCCCUUCCUUGUCCCAAGCAAAAUAUACACUUCGGGCCAUAAGUCUGGCAUCCUGAACAGCUACAAACAAAACAAAACAAAACAAACAAACAAACAAACAAAAAAACACCAGAUGGUGCAACCUGGAAGAGUGACAAAGUUCACUUCCUCAUGAGUUAACUUUGUCCAAUGGGAAGCAAGAGUCAGGAAAAGCUUGUAAAUAAAUUCACCUUCUUCCUUAAUCCAGUGGACUUCUCUAAGGAUGUUUCUCUUUACAGUUCAUCCGGGUCUUUCAACCUUCCCAGCAGAGAUGACUGAUGUGGGAUUUUCAAAUGGACCACAGCUGGUGGUGAAGCAGGGGCAUGAAUGAAGCUGAAGUGAUAAAAAGCAAGACCAUUCCUAAUUCAGUGUCUCUGGCUUCAUAUUAUGAAGCUAUCCUUUUCUUUUUUUUUUCCACAUAGAAAAAAAUCCAGAUUCAAAUUUUCAGGGAACAAUAGAAUCCCUAAUUGUCAGGUCCUUGCUUAGCAUCUGGAUGGCCAUCUUAAGUGACAGCCUCUAUCUUAAGAAAAAGUUUUGCUUUCCCACCCAAGGGUGUUUCUGAGAAAGGUUCACCUCUCCCUUCACACCAACCCAACCCUUAACCACCUGCAUUAGUACCCUUGGGGCUCUAAUCCAUGGCCUGCCUCAUAAAAGUCCCAGAACUCAAACCUGUAUUGCCUCUUU
rnacentral:lncRNA from 1 species